GACGAACGCUGGCGGCGUGCUUAACACAUGCAAGUCGAACGGUGAAGCGCCUUCCUUUUUGGUGGGUGUGGAUGAGUGGCGAACGGGUGAGUAACACGUGAGUAACCUGCCCCCUUCUUCUGGAUAACCGCAUGAAAGUGUGGCUAAUACGGGAUAUUCUGGGUCUGUCGCAUGAUGGGUCUGGGAAAGAUAUUGUUUCGGUGGGGGAUGGGCUCGCGGCCUAUCAGCUUGUUGGUGGGGUGAUGGCCUACCAAGGCGGUGACGGGUAGCCGGCCUGAGAGGGUGGACGGUCACACUGGGACUGAGACACGGCCCAGACUCCUACGGGAGGCAGCAGUGGGGAAUAUUGCACAAUGGGCGCAAGCCUGAUGCAGCGACGCCGCGUGAGGGAUGGAGGCCUUCGGGUUGCGAACCUCUUUCGCUAGUGAAGCAGGCCUGCCUCGUUUGUGGGUGGGUUGACGGUAGCUGGAUAAGAAGCGCCGGCUAACUACGUG
rnacentral:rRNA from 1 species